rnacentral:rRNA from 1 species
UGGGGAAUAUUGCACAAUGGGCGCAAGCCUGAUGCAGCCAUGCCGCGUGUAUGAAGAAGACCUUCGGGUUGUAAAGUACUUUCAGCGGGGAGGAAGGCGAUAAGGUUAAUAACCUUGUCGAUUGACGUUACCCGCAGAAGAAGCACCGGCUAACUCCGUGCCAGCAGCCGCGGUAAUACGGAGGGUGCAAGCGUUAAUCGGAAUUACUGGGCGUAAAGCGCACGCAGGCGGUCUGUCAAGUCGGAUGUGAAAUCCCCGGGCUCAACCUGGGAACUGCAUUCGAAACUGGCAGGCUAGAGUCUUGUAGAGGGGGGUAGAAUUCCAGGUGUAGCGGUGAAAUGCGUAGAGAUCUGGAGGAAUACCGGUGGCGAAGGCGGCCCCCUGGACAAAGACUGACGCUCAGGUGCGAAAGCGUGGGGAGCAAACA